UAGGCGUACGGGUGAGUAACACGUGGAUCAUCUACCUCUUAGUGGGGGAUAACUCUGGGAAACCGGAGCUAAUACCGCAUAAGCCUGGAAAGGGAAAGCGUUGUCGUAAAAAACGACGCGCUGAGAGAGGAGUCCGCGGCCGAUUAGCUAGUUGGCAGGGUAAAAGCCUACCAAGGCAUUGAUCGGUAGCCGGCCUGAGAGGGCACACGGCCACACUGGCACUGAAACACGGGCCAG
rnacentral:rRNA from 1 species